rnacentral:tRNA from 1 species
GGGGCGUUAGCUCAGGGGUAGAGCAGUUGCCUUUUAAGCAACGGGUCAGUGGUUCAAAUCCACUACGCCUCA